rnacentral:rRNA from 1 species
UACGGAGGAUGCAAGCGUUAUCUGGAUUUAUUGGGUUUAAAGGGUGCGCAGGUUGUUUGAUAAGUCAGUGGUGAAAGUCUGUCGCUUAACGGUAGGAUUGCCAUUGAUACUGUUAGACUUGGAUAUGGAUGAGGUAGGCGGAAUGUGUAGUGUAGCUGUGAAAUGCAUAGAUAUUACACAGAACACCGAUUGCGAAGGCAGCUUACUAAUCCAUCAUUGACGCUGAGGCACGAAAGCGUGGGGAUCAAA